UCUAUUUUCCUAAUCAUUGAUAGUUUGUUCUUAACUAAAUGAAUAAAAAUGUAGUAAUUUUGCAGUGUUGUUCUACUUGGCCGUCUCUUAUCUUUCAGCAGCACCUCUACUUCUUUUCUUUUGAAUCCUGAAAGAAAUAAUUAUAUUGAUAAACAAUUGAUUUGUAUUAUUAGCAAGUUAAUCGAUGAUGUAGGUAGGACCUAAUGAUUCACAUUUACAGCUUGGUGAAAAUAUAAUUAGCUCAUCAUAUUAAAGAUUCGAACACGUAUGUGUCACUUUUCUUUUCGACAAUCUUUGUGACUUGCAAAGCAUAUUAUUCGUCUCCUUCAGAUUUUCCCAUGCUUAAGAAUCUGAAAAAGUUAAGUUUCACACAUGGCGACUCUUAUCUUUGUGAAAAUCUCCCUAAUUGACAAUAUUUUGCACUAAAAGAAUGAAAUUCUAGAAUUUCAAGAAUAACGAAGGUCUUUGGAAAUUACUUUUGGUUGCAAAUACGAAAACCUUACACAAUUCAGAAAGUGGAUCCAUAUUGUAGUCAUCUUUGCUGCCGUUGACGUCCUUAAUAAAUCCUUGCAAGAUCUUCUUUCGCGUAGUCCUUUUAUUCCUGCAGAUAUAUUGUUCUAAUACCAUAAAUAAUCUGAAUUUUUGUUGGAAGAGAAAGUGGAACCAUACCGUAGUCGUCAUCAAUAAGCGUGACGAAUUAUAAACUGGAGAUGAACGCUAGGGUUCUGUGUGCAGCGGCGUUUCGAGGAUCGCAAGCCUUGUCGUUUUUCAUGCCUUGCGGGUGGACGGUGGUGAUAUAUCGAUCU
rnacentral:lncRNA from 1 species